AAAGUAAAGGAUAACCAUGCUACAAUCCAUAGCCCUAGAGAGACUAGUUAAAAAGAAGGAGAAGGAAGUGCCCCGAGGACUCAGCAAAGAACCCUGGAGAAACAUCAGACACUGAGGGUUGAUUGCUCACUGAAGUCUUGUGAAUUCUGGGAGCUACAGUAAUGACUGGUCUAGCAUGAAACGUCCACCAGUGCAGCAGCAGCAUGAAAGUUAUGGGAGUAACCAAGCUCUUCCUGAUUGUAUUUUAAAUGCUACACCACAAGGCCAAAUUCAUGCCUGCAACUGUUAAUUGUUCACAAAUCUAUGGCUGGCUAGGUCAUAUACUCUAGAGGAAAACUAACAUGCUAAAUAGACAUAGUGACCCAAUCCCCUCUACUUUCUUAUCUUCAUACCCAUAGGUUAAUGUAUCUCUCAACGCUCCUCAGAGAAACUUCUCUUUGCAAUAGGUGGUGAAUAAUACAGUGACACACACUGGCCAAGAGGCAGAGAACAAGAGACUGAGUGCUCACCUCUAACUGGGACAUCUAUGCCACAUUCCCUCCUUUCCAAGUCCCAGGGACCAUUGCAGAAGAGAAAGAAGAAAUAUUGCAAGAGCAAUAAGUAGUGUGCAUCCGUAUGCAGAAAAACCAUUUUCUGGACACAACAGGACUACUGCACACAUGAACUUAAAGCAGCAAUGACUACAUGCACAAGACGUGCACACGAUCAAGUCAGUCAAAAUCCCAGCAAGAAUGGGAGAAGAGGCUGUCCGAGUUAGUGUUUCUACUGCUAUGAAACACCAUUACCAAAAGCAAGAUGGAGAGGAAAGGGUUUAUUCACCUUACACUUCUCCAUCAUAAUCCAUCACUUCUAGAAGAGUAACCAAUGCUCUUAACCAUUGAGCCAUCUCUCCAGCUCCUAUCUGCCUUUUAAAAACAGGUAAGUUUCACCUAUAAAGUAUUCAUGAAAAAAAUUAAAACAACUCCCUAGUUCCAAUCAUGAUCCUUAAAAAACUAUAAGGCCAAACGAACAAACUAAAAUGACAUAAUGGAAAUGCAAUCAGAAAGGCAGACAUCAGGGAGGUUUACAGAAUGCAAUUACCUAGGGCUGAGGAGAUGACUCAGUGAAUAGGAGUUCUUGUUGCCUAAGUAUGAUAAUCUGAGUUCAGACCCCACAUGUGACCCUGCAUGCAUGCCUGCAACCCCACUCCUCAUAGGAGAGAAGACAGAUCCCGAGAGCUAGUAGGCCAGCCAAUUUAACAAAAAAAAUAAAAACAAAACACUAAUGACACAUGACACUGUCUCAAAGAAUAAAAUGGAAAGCAAUGGAGCAGGGCGCCACAUGUACUCUCUGGCUUCUCCAUUUGCACACACAGGCACACAUGUCUAAAUACAUAAAUGAACACACACAAUGCAGCCAAAUAACUUUAACUAAAGGAAAGAAAAAAUAACCUAAUUCUUUCAACAAACUUAAUAAAGAGGGAAGCAGAUGGCAGAAACCUAUAGAUUAAAAGAUUUAAAUAGCAGGGAAAGAACCAUAUUUCGAUACUGCUUUGAACAAGCUGUUUUUAAGAGGUUAUUAUAGGAUAAUUGGGGAGACAAACCGUGGCUGUUUCAUUCCACUCAAGGGCUAUAGGCCAGCACAGUGUCCAACACCAUCAAUGCAACAUUCAGCAUGGGAUGCUGAGGCAGGAGGAUUGCGAGGCCUUCAAGCAAGCCUGAACUACAGAACUAUAUGUAAUGUCUAAAUAUUUACCAGGCUGAGAAAAAAAGAAUUUGCAUCAGGUACUGUGCAAGUGUCUGAAGAGCUGGGGCUCCUCCAAGAUGGUCCAUGUCCAGGAGAGACACAAGACUCUGGAGGCACAUAAGGGCUCUACACUGAGUAGUGUUCAAUCUUCAAAGAAAGUGAACAGCGUUGUUUCUGUAAACUAGUACACUGGAAUGCUAUGGGUCAAGUGACUUUUACUACCAUUACUGUUGACUUUGGUGUAGCAUCUUGCCUUGUACCACAGGCUAUCCUGGAGCUCACUGUCAAGUCUGCAUUGGCUCUGACUCUGUGAUCCUCUUGAAUACAGGGAUUAGACUUAUGAGCCUCCAUGUAUAAACUUCAGAUUAAGAGUUCCUACAAGUUCAAGGGGAUCUGGUCACAAAGAAUAAUGUGACCUGUUAAUCUGCCAAUCAAAGUACCUGAGAACUCAAGGGCUUUGAGUGCACCUCCCUGUGAGUCCUAAAUCUCUAUUCAGCCUUGAAUAGCAAACUCCUUCCAUUUAUUUUUUCAUUUGAAUUUAUAGUUUGCUGUCCCAGGGACUGAUCCCAAGGCACCAUUCAUACUAGACAAGCACUCUACCCUGAACUUGGCCACUUUUGACUUUUAAAAUAUCUGAUGACAGGGUCUCAAUAAGCUUCCUGAACUUAUGAUCAGCCCUGGGCAGUUGAGAUUACAGACCCCCACCCCAGGCCUGGUUUCUUUCUUGCUUCUUCAUAGAGGAGCCACUUGGUAUGUGUCCUGAGUGUGCUUAGAUGUGUCUUUGUGGAAAUGGAACCACAGAGUACACAUUUUAUGUCUUAUUCAUUCUGUUCAACACAGUAAAUUCUGCUGUGUUGUGAGUGGUUCCAGUUCAGAUCCUUUUUACUGCUGAAUGUAAACUUCUUAUACAUAUGACCAUGAACAGACAACGAGGCUGUUUCCAAGUUGGGACAACUAUGACCCACACUGCUGUGAAGAUUCAUUCUCACACUGGUAUCCAAGCACACUGGGCACAAACUUCUCCUGGCUGGUCUUGGGAGCAUUUUCUAGUCAAUAUUACAACACUUCACAUAAUGACAAAAUGAUGUUUUGUUUCUGAACACUGAAAAGUUCUUACUUUUUAAUCAAAGUUUUCCAAGUAGGGUUCCUAGAUCAUAUGUCAACAGCAAUACUGUUUGGUGAUGCAGUUUUCUCAAACACCCAGGUUUGAAAUGGAAACAGGAAAAGAUAGAAGGGAAACUGUCUUAAAUGGGACUUUUCUCUUAGUUUACAAAUUAUCAGGGUCAGAGCACGUGUGUAUUUCUAGUUCUGUCAGUUCUGCUUUACACCCAAGCUGCCAGUUUCUGCUCUGCAAGUAAACGGCUCCCACCAGCCAUUCCGACUCCCCACCCGGAGGCCAGGGUAAUACUAGAUGACCUUCUUUGGGAUGAGGCAGUUGGUAAGAGCAGUGUGAAUCUCAUGGGACAGCAGCUGCCCACUGCACUCAUUGAAGGAGUUUUCCAUAAAGGCUUCACUUUCAUCACUACUACAAAGCUCUUACCAUUCAUCAUCAGAGAGAUCUGAGGAAAAAAGAGCAAACAAGGCAUUACUGGGGUAUCAAAGAAACUCUCACGGAAGCUGCCCUUGGUAUGAGGAGUGGGAGCCAGGUGGGGGAAUGUCCAGUGUACGUUGGGAGCAAACCUUUACUGCAGCACAUGUUGACAGUAACUUCCAGAGCAGUCUGCUGAGCUGCCAGCAAUGCCAUGAUGUCUCUCAGUUCCUUGUCAGUAGACUAAAGAAAUAAAAAUAAAUAAGAAAAAUCAGGUAUCUUUCAUAUCAGUUUUUUUCUUAGUGUCCAACUAGCUCUUGUACAUCAGGCUGGUCUGGAACUCACAGAGAUCUGCCUACCUCUGCCUCUGCCUCUGAGUACUUUGAUUAAAGGCAUGUACUACUCCCACCUGGCCUAAACCUUAAUUCUUAAAUUGCCUGUAAAAAAUCAGCCACACUGAUAUCCUAUGGUGAGUGGCAUAACCUUGAAAAUGACAUGUACUUUGUUGUUUACAAAUUCAAACUGUUUUUAAUGACUAAAUAAAAUUUCACUAAUUGGAUCUAC